CUCUGUAUGUACGUAGCGUGGUUCAAUGUGCAUGCGAGGGGAUAUUGAUAUUACUGGAAGAUUUUGGUUGGGUUAAAACGAUGUUUGUACAAGGAAGCAGAAGCACAAAGAAGUUGAGGAAGUAAGGGUUGCAAAGAUUUACAGACCUAAAGACGGGGCCACAACCCAGAAAAGGCACUCGACACACGAAGGCCUGCAGGCCAAGCAGCUCUCAUCAUGCUGUCAUCAUUCACUGCAAGUGUCACUGCUAUUGUCUGGAUGCUACUGCAGCACCGCCUGUCCCAAACUAAUCCUGCACUGGCUUGGCCUUGGGGCCUUGGAACAACACGGCUCAGUCUACAGAUAAGCAGCAUGAACAUUAGGCGUGUAGAGACAUGCCACUGCAGGGAUAAAACAGCACCUUAUUUGCCUUGAAUAUCAAAGUCAACGUCACUCAUGUGACACAGAGGCUACUCAGCUGCAACUGUCAGAAGAGAGUGCCGGCGUUUGAAGGGAAUCCAGGGUCAGCCAUGUGAGUAAUCACUCUGCACUCGGCUACCAUCGUGGAGCUCGGCUGACUGACAUGCUGAAUGACGGGGGUCUCAAGGGCAAUUGGGGGUAGUUUUGGUUUGAACCCUCACUUUACUGGCAACACGCCCUGGGUUUUAGAGGCAGAUCUGCCCAGACCUGUUCAGGCCUGAGAUAAACCAUUUCAGGCCUUUUCGUCUUGGGAGUUAUGACAUUUAAAUAUGAAGCCUCACAUCAGGUAAUUGAGAGGAAUUAUACUUGUAUUACAUGUUGAUUCUAGAAGGUAAUUGGCUUGUUUAAGUUUAAAAUGUUUUGAAGAUAAAUUGCCUUCCCUCAAUUAGUGUUACAUUUUAUUCACGCAUGGCUAAAAAAAAUUAAAUAAGGAACACUUGGAAAGGUUCUUUCCAAAAACCUUGUCUUUGAGAGAGUGGUUGGUAUGUAUGUAAUACAUGUGGAAUUCCCAUUUAUUAUAAAGACAGGGGCCUCUGCGACAAGAUCAGAUGGUACUUUAUCUAGCCCAGAUCUUAUGUUCUGUACAAAGUAUUAUAACAUGUUAUUACCUGUCUUGGGCUGGAUGUCAAAGUAGGUGCGCUGGGACUCCAGCAUGUGGUAGGAUAGCUUCCCCUCAGACGAGGAGUCUGCGUCUGAGGCGUGGAGCUGCAGGACUUGCCGGGCCUUGGCAGCAUUCUCCGGGAUGGUGGCGGAGUAGACCGGCUGGGACAGCUCGGGGGGGUUAUCGUUGACGUCAAGGACCUCCAGGAAGACAUGGGUCCACGACGCCAAUGGCUCCGUGCCCAGGGGUCAGAGGAUGUUCACCAGGAUGUAUGGAGAACAUCUUGAGCAACAUCUCCCCAACAACCCUCUCCCCCACACUGAAGGGCAGAUCAAAUUGCACCAACCUACGCUUAGGAAUGUCAACUUAUCGCCGUCAUAAGUAUGAAGGGCUUCAUUUUGACUAAUUGGGCAUGUCAAGAACUACAUGAGGGCUGCAUUGUCCAGUUAGGUUGGCAAAAGCACUUGCAUAGUUGUUGAAUAAAAAAUCUAAGCUGGCAG
ensembl:lncRNA